rnacentral:lncRNA from 1 species
GGCAGAGAGGCUGGAAACGGCAGAGGAGGAAGAAGAAAGAAAAGAAAAGAGAAAGGAAAAAAAAGAAGAGGAAAAGGGAAAGGGAAAAAGAGGAGGAGAAAAAGGAAGAAAAAUAGGUAGUUCAAGCUUGUUUCCAUUCUCCUUUUUCUAUAUUUUCUUCAAGAGGUAAAGGAAUGAUUUUAUGUUAAAUUUCUAGGGUUUUAACUUGUAUAAAUUUCAUAUUUAAGAAACUAAGAGUACAAAUUGGAGCUCAAUUUUGUUGAUUCUUUAAUCUCCAAUUUCAUUAAGGCAAGGAUACCAAUUUUUGGCAAACCCUCGAUUUUAUAUUGGAUACUUGAGUAAGGAUUAAUUGUGAACAUGAUUAUGGUGAUGAUAUAUUAACUUGAAAGAAUGGAUCUAUGGAAUAAGAGGUAAAUUAGAUUGGUGCAAGUGGGAAUUCAAGUUUCAAUAGAUUAGAAUAAAGAAUUAUUUCUAUGUUUGGUAUCUAGUUAAUUAUGAUAAUUUAAAGAUUAGUGAAAGGCUAGAAGGUAAAAUUUGUUUCAAUUGUGAAGGAAACUAAAGAAUAUAUUCAAGUGCCGAAAAGUCAAGUUCUAAAAUUUCAUAAUUAAAUGUUAAGAGAUACUUAGUAUGGGAGUUGUUAAAUUAGUUAUCUUACAUCGGAUUUCAGGUGAUGACGUGAAAGCUUGACAAGGCUGGUCAAUUUGACCAGAUUGCUAUCUAUAGAUCUGUUAGUGGAGAACCUAUUUUUUCAAAAAGAAGAUUUUCUUUUUAUUUUAUAGAAGCAUAUUAAUUACAUGAAAUGUCUUAUUUUCGAGAAAUUGGUAAAUGAUCAUGAUUAUUUUGAAAUUAUCAGAAAACAACUGAUGUAAUUAUCUUACUCUAGUGCACUGAGGGGCUACGGCCGUAUACUAGAGUCAUGUAUUUUAUUCUUAUACACUGAGGGGCUAUAGCCAUGUAUAAGAAUGAUUAUGUUUCCAUCUUGUACACUGAGGGGCUAUGGUCGCGUACUAGAGUCGUGUAUUUAACUCCUAUGCACUGGGGGGCUACAGCCGUGUGUAAGGGUAACUCUUAUCCACUGAGGGGCUACGGCCGUAGGUAAAUGCAUAUAUUAUACUCUAAGGGGCUACCGUCGUGUAUAAAGAUGAUUAUGUUGUUUCCAUCUUGUACACUGAGGGGCUACGAUCGUAUACAUAUUAUUGAUCAGACGGUUUAUGUGCAUAUGAUUUAUAGAUUUCAAAUCAUUAGUAGAUGUUUACAUGGGAUAUAUUUUGAUGUGAAUUUUAAGUAUAUAGGGGAUUAUUAGCCUACAACUUACAUUUCCCCGUUUACAGUUCAACUUAUGGAUUUCAGAUUAUAGAGUUCUGUUUAUUCAGUUUUAAGAAUAAAGCUUCCGGCUUACGAUAUUGAGCAACCACAAUAUUUCAUAGAUUUUCAUGAAUAUCAGAUUCUUUAUAUUCAUUAUACUUUGCAGUUACUUGUCUAGAAUUAAGAACAAAGAAUUUUAUGAUGCAAUCAUGCUUAGUUUAAAAGUGUUGCUAGAUUUUAGCAUUUCUCAAAGAUUUAAUAGAGUUAGAAUUUUUAGGAAAUAUGCAUAAAUGGAAAAGUAUACUUAUUUUUAAUCUAUUCACUCAUUGAGUUACAAGCUCAUAUUUUGUUACCGCUUUUCCUUAUUAGAUAGUGACCGAGUUGAGCAGUAUUGGAGCCUGUCGAUCCACUGAAUUGAGCCAAACGUCAUUAGUUGUACAGUCUACUUUAUCAGAUUAGGUAGUACAUGUUUCUUGGGUUACAUGUAGUUUAUGUUAGAAAAGGUUGUCAUGAGAUCACUAUAUGGUAUAUUUAGUACAUUUGAGAAUUGUUGGUAGUAAACCAAGUAAAUACCGAAUUGUCAAUAUUUUAUUUUGAAUAGUUUGGAUUUUGAGAAAUGAUG